CCACCACCACCACCACUAUUGAUGCUACUUCCCUUAGAAGCCCAGAGGCAUUACAUCAACCUCCGGGAUGCAAGGUCCGAUCAUAAUUUUCAUACAACCGUCAAUAAUGCAGUCAAAUAGCAUUAUUCGCAUCCUUGGGCCAACAUAUCGCAAAUCCCGCGGAGCACCAGCUAUUCCGAUUCCAGAGUUGAAGUGGGACUACGACGACUAUAGCGUGUUAAAACUCGUCAAGUCGUAGGCGGGGAAGUUCCUGCAGAAGUGGUUUGUUGACGCCCGAAACUAGUUGGCCCGACCGUUGUGGUUGAUUAAGGAGAUCUGGCACCAGCUCCUAGAGUUCUGGUCGAGCCCAGAAUUUCAUGCACGGUCGGCCAAAAUAAGGUCAACAGGGCUGCAAUCCCGGAAGCAGUUGCGACGUCUACCGCAGGGGGUCGUCAUCCGUUGGAGCGCACAAGUGGAAGAUGGUAUUCGAAAAGAUCUACAAAAAAAAGUAGGACGGUCAGUGGAGCGGUCCGACGGCAGAGGAAGUCGUGGAGAUGUUCUUGAGGAUGAUGGAGGAACACCAGAGACGGCGGAAUAACAAUGAAGAGCCUCCAUUGUCCUCUCAAGGCUCUAUGGCCCCAGACGAGCAGCAGGUCUGGAUGUCUAUAGUGAGUCGUUGGAGGAGGGCCGAGUAUUCGAUCUCAGCUCUGAGGCCCACCACUCGAUUGCUGGACCAUCCCAGGUGACCUAGUCGACUGCUCCCUCACCCUCGCCACCACAGCCACAACGCCCCGACAUAAAUGAUCGAGUGUUGCCACUCGAGUGCUACAUCAGAAACAUCGAUCCCAACUAGCCUGAUUAUCUAGCCCCGGAGCCUUCAGUUGAUCCCUCGGCACCCAAUGGCGACAACGAAC